rnacentral:lncRNA from 1 species
UCAGUGUUUGACAAUAGAUUGUAUAUCGAGAAUAAUCUUGCUGUUUUGGAACGUGAUUUGGUCUAUGACUUGAAUUAUUUCAUAUUUAUUUUUUGAUUGAUCACUUUCAGGGUUAUUCUCUAUUUGCAUAUUUUUAAACGAUCAAAUCUUUAAGAUUCUAGUUAACAUGUUGAAUCAUAUUCAGCACCUCAUGCGUCGAACUUUGAAUGUUGCAAUCAUUUGUUUGAUUAUCAGUUUUGAGAUGAAUAAAUCUUUCUCUGUUUUGAAAUAACUAUAAUAUUUUUAACUUGAGGGUUGCACUGAUUUAGGGGGAGUCUUUCUAAUUCUAGCUAUGAAUAUUUCUGAAAUUCAAGAUGUGGAAAGAGUUACAUCCCUGCUGGGAGUGUGAAAACUACCACCACAUGGAGGAAAGAGCUACCACCCCGGUCGUCCGGUCAGUGUGUGCAGCUACCACAUGUUGAUUAUAGUAUCUAUGUGAGACAAAAGAAAAGUACCUCUCAGAAAGAGAAAAUGUAAGAAUAAUAUGCUCAAAGAGCUAUACUGCUUGUAGGUGAUAUAAGGUGGAAUGUUAAUAAAGAUGCUCAAAGAGCCACUCCUGUCUCAGACGAUGUGCAUAACUCAAUUUAAUCAUAUUAUGUUAAUUUCACAAUUUUGAGAAAUAUUUAUUUCAUUCUCUUUAACAAAAUAUGAUGAUAAAAUGAUACAAUUUGUUUCUAAGAUCUUGCAUGAUGUGUGGGAUUUUAUUUUAUAUGUAUCAAGAAUUUUCAUUGAUUUUCGGGUCAACAAUUUUGUAAAUUUGAAUAUCUCUGAAAUUGAUUUUUCAAAAUUUAUUUAUGAAAUUUUGUUUGAAGUUUUUGGGCUGGAAAUUGGUUAUUUUUGAUGUUUGAACAUUGUGA